ACUGCACCUCACAUCCUGGGGCGGAACCCACAACACCCGAGAGAACUACAAGCCCCGGCAACUAGACACAUUGCUCGGUCAUGGGACUUGUGGGCCUCCAAUAGAGGCAAGGGAGUCACUGAGCUGGUCCUCUGGAAUGAACCAAGAAAUGAAUGUCUGGGGGAAAUGGAAGACUGAAGCUUGGAGAAAGAGAAGAACUACUCCUGGAUGCUCAGUAUGCUCUCUUUGGAACACGGGGCAUGCAGGACAACAAUUACUAAUCACGAAGCAAAAUGCAGUUAACCACAGAUAAUGUGUAAUAUCUGAGCCAUACCCAGAUUGAUUAAUUUUCAUGAUGGAAGCAUUGGCCUGUCAUCUUCCCCUUUGAAUAAAUAUUUAUUCAACAUUUGA